CAUAUUGAAGCAUUGUACAUAGGCUAAACAUGUCAGCUUCACGUGCAUGCAACAUGUAUGAACAAUAAUACAACUGAACUAUUUUAUUAGUAACGAAAUAUGUAAUGAGGUAAUGUUCAGUGAUGGUUUGUUAUUUUUUUUUAUUUCAGAAUGGAACUCAACAAAAUCCUUAACACAAGGCCUUCUUCCCCAUACUGGACUCCUCCACCUUUACACGUCCAUGUACUGGCUGAGAGGGAAAGUGCCCGUGUAGUUUCCUGGGAGUUUGGAAUAGAUUCGGCUGAGGCCAAAAUAACAAAAAUUAACAAAGUGGUGGCCAUCACAGAUGGCCACACAGUGUCUAAAGUGACAUUAUUUGAGGAAUUGCGACACAAAUUGGAAGAAAAAAAAAACUACAUAAUUAAAAAUUAUUAUUUAAAAGGAGACACCCCACCACUACACAUUAUGGUCAGUAAAAAAACCAACUUCUUUAAAAGCUCCCCAGUGGAGCUCACAUGCGAGGGCCUGCCGGAGGCAGCAAAGGCUCUACUCUUUCCAUCUUCCAAGGUGGUGAAACUGAUGGAAUGGAAAGGUGUUGGUGGCCUCCUGACUGUUGAAGGUCAGGUUGUACAAGUAAGUUUUUUAUUAUUUCUCAUGCAAACAGUAGACCAUUUCCUGGAAGUUUAAUACCAUGUACAUCUUUGGGGUGGGGGAUUACACACAUAAAGAUUUACAAAUAGUAAAUAUCUUUAAAUUGUUGCUUUGUUUCUCUAAUAAUAAUGGUGGAUGAAAGGACUGAGACACCUGUCCUCCAGCUGUAUGUUGUGUGGUCAUCAAUCUUGGGAAAGAAAACUCAGAAGCAGUUCUUUGGAUGUAGGUGGCUUUGAUGUCAGCGGUGCCUCAAACACACCUUUAAUACAGCAGCAGGAGGCAAAAUCAUUAAUGCAUCUCCAGUACAGUAACAUUACAGCUCCCAACAUGCAGGCUACUAGUCUCAACUGAGAGAUGAGAGAGCUGCGCACAUUUAAAAUGCUGGUAAUCCUAAGGUAUCAACAGAAACAUUGCACGCUAACAUAAAAAUAGCACAAUUAUUAAACAUAAAAAAACAAACCUGCACCAAAUGUCACACAAUCCAACUAUUGUGCACAAAUAAACUGAAAUAACCCAAAACAAACCUUCAAAACAGCAGGAGGCAAAAAUCAGCAACUAAUCUCCAGUAUAGCAACAUUAUAGCUCCUGCCAUUUACCAUUUAAUCUCAUUGUGUAGAUCUCCAAUGUGAAGAAGAUACGGAGUGGCGGUGGAGACGUUCCUCUGCGUCAGAUCACUUUGAAGCAGGUAAAAGUACUGGAAAUACAAAUAAAAAGCUAAAUCUCCUAAUUAUUAAUAUCACAAAAUCUGUUUGCAUCUUCUUCUGGUUUAUAAGUAAGUCCUUAAACAGCAUGUUUUGACUUUCAGGGUGACGUUCAGGCUUAUGUCUCUCUGUGGAGGGAGGCAACAUUAGAAACACCUGAACUGGGGGCCAGCAUACAGAUUUCUCACGUGAGAGGAUCCAAGGGCCAGCUGCAGUCAACUGGACACACAAAGAUUGAGAAGGUUGCAGUCCAGACCAUAAUGGUGGUUAUAGAAGUCUUGGGUGCUGAGGAGACUGAAGAAGGAGAGUUCCAGCUGCUCCUCUCCAAUGGGGAUCAACCCCACAUCAAACAAUCAUUCUGGGAACCAUUCGAAAACCUCCUUGAAAAAGGGAAACUCGUUGUAAAGUUGGAGAUCCAAGGUGGCUGGGUCACAAAAAUAGAACCCUCCACUGAAAAAAAUGAAAUGUAAGAUUUUGGAUUUUGUAAAUAGUUCCAUUUGAUGUGUAAUAUUUGGCUGUUCAAUGUUAAGAUGUUAGUAGAAUUGUUAGGUAUUUAGAAAAAAAAUUGCUGUUAUGUUCUAUAGGUAUUUGGUUAAUAUUUAGUAGCUUUUUGAUGUUUCUUUAGGUGUUUAGUCUGUGGCUGUAUUAAUUUUACUUAAUCAAAUAAUCUGUAAAUAUUCUAACAACAGAUUAAAGUCAUGUUAAAACCCUACUUUUUGUCACUAUGUGAUGUUUUGUUUUAUAUUUUCUCAGAAUCCAGGUCACCUCGGUGACCUAAAGUGAGUUUAUUAAUCCAGGAGAUUUCACAUAGAUGUGAUCUGUUUGACCUCAUUGUUCUGAGAUCAUCUUGGAAUUUUUAGUUCAGUUUGACUUCCAUCUCAACACUGAGCCAUGAUGUGUGAGUUUACCUGGUGCCAGAGCACAUAUGUGAAACACCUACAUACCAGCUGACACCCCACAUUGAUAUAAGUUCUGGGAGAGGUGUCUAACCCAAGACAGGCAGAAUCAACCUCAGAAUGAUGGGAAAAAGAUUUUAUUUUGGAUAACGAUAACUAAAAGCACACUGGGCAUUCCAGUGGUUAGGAGCUGGGAAUGCAGCAUCUGGAGGGGGAAGAGCAGAAGGAGGUGAGUCCUGAGGAGUAAGUCACUACCAGAAGGUGCAGCGUAGAGACUUAAUGAGUGAUGUGGGAUUAGGGCAGAGGUGAUGGUAAUGAGCUGGGGUGUAUAUGUGUGCGUGUGUGUGUGUGGGGGAGGGGGUCCCAAGGAUGGAGAGGGAGCGUUGGGAGAGAGCGGGUCUGUCAGGAUGGAUGGAUGAAUGUGGCAGAGAGAUUCCAGUGUCCUAUUGAGUAGUGGUGGUGAAUCCUGAUGUGCUGAGACCUGAGGCAGGUGAGCAAAAUGCACAAAAAUCACGCCAGAAUCAACAUUAUUCUGACUUGGAAACUAAAAACUUAAAAGGUGAAUGCAGCACACUGUACGUAGGGUAACAUUCCACUGAAUGUUUAUAUAUGUGUGUGUGUGUGUGUGUGUGUGUGUGUGUGUGUGUGUGUGUGUGUGUGUGUGUGUGUGUGUGUGUGUGUGAGAGUGUGUGUGUGUGUGCGCGCGUGUGUGGGUCUGUGUGUGUGCACAAUUCAGUAUUUUAAAUACUGUCAACUGAGUUAAUAAAUUGGUCAGUAAUUCAUGAAUUAGGAUUGUUUGUUUGUCAUAGUUUUAUAAAUGCUCCCUAGUUCAGAUUUUUUUGGGAAAGAGGAGAACAUGUCAGGGCUUUAGUUGCAGUUAGUGAGUCAGAGAACUAGUUAAAUAAAUAAAAUAAAAUGUAUUCUAUAAAACUUGUAAAUGUAAAAGUGAAAAAUGGUUUAGUUAAACCUUAAUGGUUAACCUUAAGCUAAAAUCUUUACACAAUGUGCUCUGAUACCCACAGCUGGAUAGCUGGAUGCUAAAUUUGGAAAAUGAUUGCUGAAGUUGUUGAACAGCUGAAGUAAGCUGAAACUAAGCUAAACUGUCAAAUGAGCUGAAUGUAGUGAAAGAUGUGAAAGCAAAAAGCACAAAGAAGCAAAAAAAAAGAACAAAAA